CAAAAAGAUAAAGAGAUAAAAAUUAUGAAAGGUUAUUCUUUAAGUUUUAAUAUCUAAAAAAUAGGAGUUCUCUGAAAAGACAAGAAAGAAAACCAAGAGAAAAUUACAUCAUCCCCAGACAUGAUGGUUUCUUAUUAUAAAUCAUCACAGACAUACACCCAAAUUUAAAUCAAAAUAUGUCAUCUGUAAAACUACAUGAUUCACACAGGCACAGAUUUUCUAAAAUAAACUAGGAAGUUGAAAGGUAAUGAAACAAAACCUUAGCAGUUCUAAGGAAAAUAAUUUUUAACCUUAAAAUCUGAAAUCAGACAGCUCUGUAUCAAACUAAGUAUAACUAUAAAGAAAGAAUGUGAAUAUUUACUGAUCCACAGCAGUCAGAAAAUUUUCCUCUCAAGUACUCUGUUAUAGUUAUAUAUUUGUGGGCAUGUUCCAGCAAAAUCCAGAAUCAACCAAGAAAUAGAAGGAAAUGGGAACUAGAAAACUGGAUUCAGCUCAAAACAGCAAUUAAGCAGAGUUGCAAGGGAAGAAAUCUGGAUGACUCGGGGCCAGAAGUGAGAAGAAUGUUCACUCUGUAUCCUUUUCAAAAAAUAGACUAUUUUUUAUAAAGCAAUUUUAGGUUCCUGGCAAAACUGAGCAGAAGUUACAGAGAUUUCUCCUAUACUCCCUGUCCCCACACAUUCAUAGCCUCCCCGAUUAUUAAUAUCCCCCACCAGAGUGGUACAUAUGUUACAACUGAUGAGGCUGCAUUGACACAUUACUCUCACCCAAAGUCCAUAGUUUACAUUAGGGUUCACACUUGGUGUAGUAUGAUUAUAUGGGUUGUUUUUUAACAAGUUUAUAGUAACAUACACCUACUCUUAGAGUAUCAUCCAAAGUAGUCUCACUGCUCUAAAAAUCCUCUGUUAUCCACUUUUUCACCUUUCCUUCCCCAUAGCCCCUGGCAACCAUUUAUCUUUUCACUUCCUCCACUGUUUUGCCUUUUCCUAAGUAUCAUAUGGUCAAAAUCAUACAACAUGUUGUCGUUUCAGAUUGCCUUCAUUGACUUAAUGAGCAUUUAAGUUUCCUUCACGUAUUUUAAUGGUUUGAAACAUCAUUUUCUUUUUAGCGCUGAAUAAUAUUACAUUGCUUAGAUGUACCAUCAUUUAUUUAUCAUUAACCUAAUGAAGAAAAAAAUUGGUUCCUUCCAACAAUUGGGGUGAUUAGUAAUAAAACUGCUGUAAAUAUCA
rnacentral:lncRNA from 13 species